GAGUUCAUGACUGACCCUGCAAUUUUUGUAAAUACUAAUCAAAUUAAAAAUUAACAAUAAAAAUAAAAUCGAUGUUCUCACCUUGUACAGGUCUAGGGGCGAAAUCAAAUGUGUUCGUGAUUUAGGAAAAAUAGAAAAAAUAUAGAGAAAUUAGGGUUGUUACUCUUAAUUGCUCUUUCCAUGUAUAUUGAUUCUUGGCCUUUCUUGCUAGAACCUAAAACACAUACAAAAAGACGUAUAAAAAGGGAGUGAGGGUAUUAGAGGUAUUGGGCGCGAGAAAUUAGGGUUCGACAUUGAGGGUUGGGAGAGAACUUACGAGAUUUAGGGUUCGGCGCAGAUUGAGGUUGAAAUAUGAGAGUGUUGGCCCAAAACAAAGGAGAUGGAGGUUCAACGAGAUUGAGAUCUGAGAGUGGAGAGCGAUGGAACGAUAUGGAGGAUUCAGGUUUUUUUAAGGAAUGAAGUUAGAUCUGCGAUUUUAAGAACGAUGCGUAAAAUAUUUAGUUUAUUUUUUUUGAAGCAUAGUGUUUUUUUUCACUGGAAAGUGCUAUCUAAGAAUAAUAGCGCUUUUGGAAAGUGCUAUCUAAGGUAUAUGUAUGAUAGCGCUUAUACCAAAAGUGCUAUAAAAGUUUUUUGAUAAAUUUAUUUUAUUAUCUACAAUAGCACUUUUAUAGUAAAGUGCUAUUAUAACCAUUUGAGUGAGAUCUUUAAUAGAACUUCUAUAAAAGUGCU
rnacentral:lncRNA from 1 species